UGAAUCAUAUAUUUUAACUUAAAUGUAGAAGUAGACAAACAAGUCUUGCAUUAUUUAGUUUUUAUUUUUUGUAUUGAAUGAAUCACAUUAUCCUGAAUGCUAUCCAAAAAUAAUCGGAUCCAGUAGAGGAGUGUUUAUGUGAAUUAUGUUACAUCCACAUGCUGUUAUAUUAAAUAGCCAUUAAAAAUUAUAUUCAUAAUAGGAUAAAUAUUAUAAUAUAUAAAUAUAUAUUUUAAGACAUAGGAAAUUACUUAACAGCAAAGAAUAGAGUAUAGCAUUCUGUAUAUGUAGUAAUGGUGGUAUAGUGAUCAGGAGUGCUGAGUUACUCUAUCACUUACCUCUGUGACCUUAUGAUCUUAGGCAUGUUUUCUAAUCUCUUUAAACUUUGGUUUACACAUCUAUAAAAUAGCAAUAAUCAUCUGCCUACCUGAAUAGGAUUGUUGUAAGGAUGAAAUAAAAUAGUGUCUGUAAGGCUCUUAGCUUAGUAGCUCAAAGGAAGUGGUUAAUAAAUAAUUGUUAGCAUUAUCACUGAUAUGUAAGAUAGUAUCCACAGAAAAAAUAAAACCAUUACAGUGGUUGUCUCUAGUUGGUAAGAUUGUUGGAAAUUCUUUGUUCUUUUUAUUUGUAUUUUAUGAUCUUGUAAUGAGCAUAUAGUGAUUCUGUAAUCUGAAAAAAUGAGUCAUAGUUUCGACUGCUUGUAAUAAAAAAUUCCCAAGAUGUUGGUAGAGAUGGGGUAAAGUCAGUAUAGAUUGAAUUCAUUACAUUUUUAUUAAUUUUUUAAAAAAGUAACAGUAGUUUUAUGUGUAAGAGUGAAAUAUUGUUAAGUUGAAAUUGAAUACAUGGUUUGUGUGUUUACAUUCCAAAUAAUGGAAUCAAAUACAGAAAAUACGGAAAAGCAAGUUGCAUUUGCUCCUUGACUUCUGUUUUAAGAGGUAUAUUCCUACUAAAAAAUUUUUUAACUAAUACAUUUUAUUGAUAGGGAGGAGGUAAUGCAUUUGUAAUAGAAGUACCCUUGUAAUAUUUCCUGUAAUAUUUGUAAUAUUUAUUUUUCUCCAAGAAUAUAUUUUUUUUCCAUAGUUCUCACCAUAUUAUCUUCAGACCAUAGGAAUUUUUUUUUCGUCUCUAGUGGUCCCUGGACCCACAGUUGAAUACAACUCUUAUAGUUUAGAUCCCCUCACUUUGAGUGUUUCCAUUAUUCAAAUGACUGCUAAACCUUGGUGGUGUACUGGUUAAGAGCUACAGCUGCUAAUGAAAAUGUUAGCAGUUCGAAUCCACCAGGCACUCCUUGGAAACUCUGUGGGGUAGUUCCACUCUGUCCCAUAGGGUCGCUAUGAGCCGGAAUCAACUUGAUGGCAGUGGGUUUGGUUUGGUAAGUUGCUGUCAUUUAACCCAAGGAAUCAUGGAGUUUUAUUACUGAUGGAAACCUUUGAGAUAUAGUCCAUCCUGUUUUUCACUUUUAAAAUGAGUAACAACAUAUUGCAAUGUAUACACAGUUUAGAAUUUUGAAAAGUAAACUUUUUUCCUUUGCCAAACAUUCCUAGCAACUUAAAAUAAUUUUCCAAAUAGUUUCAUUACCUUUUUAUUUGAGACAUUUGGUAGAUUGGUUAUUUUAGGCUAUUCCAUCUGUAGUUUCAGAAAGUAUAUUUCAUUUAACAUUGUAGUAUUCAGCUUAAGGUCUCUGUAUGUGUGACUAGGUUGAGCCUAUGUUUGAUACAUGUAAUUUUACAUGAAAUCUACUACCUAGUAAGCAUAAACAAAUAUGACUACUGCUUAAAAAAAAAAAAAAAAUGUUGGGCAUUUCUCUGUCUUGGGAGUAAACUCUCAUAUAACCAUGGACAGAGUGACACUUCUUGCACCUGUGAAGGAUGUUAGAGGUCCUGAGAAAGGGGGUGCUUUGUAAGAUGAUGACAAGAUAAUUUAGAACAGGGAUUUAUAACCUUUUAUUUUGUCAUUGACCCCUUUGGUAAUCUGGUAAAGCCUACUAUGAUUCCUUUCUCAGAAUAACGUUUUGAAUGUAUUUUUAAAAAAUUUAAUGUAUCUUAGAUGGAUAAAAUAAAAUACAUAGGAUUACAAAGAAAAACCAAUUGUAUAAAAUAUAGUUAUUAAAAUACUAAAACACCUCAGAUUUAUGAUGUGGAAAUACUUGUUUAUUAAUGCAUAGAAAAUAUGAUAACAGGGGGUCUGUGGUAGUACGAUGUGAGAUGGAAAUAACUGUGAUUUCUGUGAAUGAUAAAGGCACAGGUCCCAUUAGUCUAUUGCAGUUAGCUGUGCACAUUCAUAACUUAAGGAAAUAAUACAUUUCAGUUAAAGGUUAGUGAAAAUAAAGAUGAAUUUCUGUCCCACCCACUUUCAUGUGAUAGGUCUUUUUAAUUUUAGCCAUUUCAAUUGGUAUAUAGUGGCAUAGUGGUUAAAGAGGUUGGCUGCUAACCAAAAAGUCGGUGGUUUUAACCCACCAGUUGCUCUGCAGGAGAAAGAUGUAGGAGUCUGCUUCUGUAAAAACUUACAGCCUUGAAAACCCUGUGGAGCAGUUCUACUCUGUCCUAUAGAGUCACUAUGAGUCGCAAUCAACUUGACCGGAGUGGGUUUAGGUUUUUGAGUAUAGUGUAAUCGUUAUGAUUUUAAUUUGUAUUUUCCUAAUGACUAAUGAUGUAGAACAUCUUUUUAUGCUUAUUUGUCAUUUGUAUAUCACCUUUAGUGCAGUAUCUGUUAAGUUUUUUGCCCAUUUUUUCGUUGAGUUGUUUAUUUUCUUAUUGUUGAGUUUUGAGAAUUCUUUACAUAUUCUGAAUACAAGUCCUUUAUCAAGUAUAUUCUUUGCCUAGAUUUCUCUCAGUCAGUGACUUGUCUUUUCUUUCCCCUAACAAUCUUUUCAGGAGCAGAAAUGAGUGUUUAAUUAUGAUGAAGUCCAAUUUAUCCAUCUGCUCCUUUAUGGAUUGUAUCUAGUAGCUCUUUUCCUAAGUCUAGGUCACAAAGAGUUGUUCUAGAGUUUUGUAGGAUUUUGAGUUAAUUUUUUUAUAUGUUUUUAUGAUGUAUGGAGUAAUUUCAGUUUUUUUUUAUGUAGCUAUCUAAUUGUUCUAGUAAUAUUUGUUAUAAAGACUUUUUUUCUUCACUGAAUUGCCUUUGCACCUUUGUUAAAAAGCAGUUGUCCAUGUAUGUAUGGUUCCCUUGAUUCAGUUCUAUUCUAUUGAUCAGUUUGUCUGUCUUGAUGCUAAUACUGCCUUGAGUACUGUAGCUUUAUUAAUUAUGUCUUGAAAUUGGGCAGUGUUAGUCCUCUAGCUUUGUACUUCUUUUUCAAAGUUGAUUUUGCUUGUCUAGGUCAUUUGCGUUUCAUAUGAAUUUCAGAGUCAGCUUAUCAAUUUCUACAAAAAAAAAAUCCUGCUGGGAUUUCAGUUUAGAUUGCAUUGACUCUGUGGGUCAAUUUGUAGAAUUGGUAUCUUAAAAGUAUUCUUUAAAUCCAUGACCACAGUAUUUCUUUCCAUUUUCUGAACAAUGUCUUGUAGAGUUUGGUGUAUAGGUCUUGUACAUUUUUUUUCAGAGUUAUCCAUAAUUAUUUUUUUAAUGCUGCUUUAAAGGCAUAUAAAUUUUAAUUUUAUUUUUUUCCUUACUUGUAUAUAAAAAGUAUAUAGCUUUGGUAAAUUCACCUGUUAGUUUCAGGCACUCCUUCGUAGAUCCCACUGGAUGAUCUUCGUAGAUGAUCAUGUCUGCACAUAGGGUUUUACUUCUUUCUAAUCUGAAUGCUCUUUGUUGCCUCUCUUUGACUUAUUGCACUGGCUAGAAUCUCUGGAAAAACAUUUAUUAGAAGUGGUGAGAACAGGCAUCCUUGUCUUGUUCUUGAUCUUAAGGGGAAAACAUUUAGACUUUCAUCAUUAAGUAUCAUAUUAGUUGUAGGGUUUUAGUAGAUGCCUUUUUUAUCAGCUAAGGAAGUUUUAUUCUACUAGUUUGCUGAGACUUUUUGUCAGGAAUAGAUAUUGGAUUUUGUCAAAUGCUUUUUGGCUCUAUAGAGAUGAUUGUGUAGAGGUUUUUCUUUUUAAUUUGGAAAUAUGUGAAUUACAGUGAUUGAAUUUCAAAUGUACAAAACCAGCUUUGCAGAUUGAGAUGAAUCCCACUUGGUCAUACGUGCUUUUCUUUUUAUAUUUUUAUUGGGUUUGAUUGCCUAAAAGCUCAUUUAAAAUUUUUUACAUCUAUGUUGAUGAAGAAUAUUUCUUCAUAGUCUUCUUGUAAUGUCUUUGUCUGGUUUUGGCACCAGAGUAAUCCAGGCUUCAUAAAAUGAGUUGGGAAGUAUUCUCUUUAAUUUUCUGGAAGAAUUUAUACAGAAUAUGUAUUUUUCUUCCUUAAAUUUUGGUAGAAUUCACCAGUGAAGCUAUCUGGUCCUGGAUAUUUUUCCCUUUUGUUGGAAGUGUUUAACUUCAAUUUCAUGGGGCUUUUCAGGUCAUGUAUUUUAUCUUGUGUAACCUUUGUAGUUUGUAUUUUUCAUGGAAUUUGUCCAUUUUAUCCAAAUCGUAGAAUUAUAGACUUAGGGUUGUUCAUAGUAUUCACUAAUUAUCCUUUUACUAUCUAUAGAAUUUCUGAUGAUGUCACCUGUCUUAUUUAAUCCUUUUGAUUCUUGCUUUUAUGGUUUUUUUUUUUUUUGAAGAGAGACCAGAGCAGUGUUCAAUCUAGAACUAAUUAUUCCCCAUUACUGAGGCAAGUCCCUCCUGGGUAGUUCACCCAGUGCGCUGUGAAUUAUGCUGGAUUUUUGAGUGCUGGGCACUAUUACCUCUUAUCCUUUCUCGUAGUUCUUUGCCCAGCCUCUGGUAGUUUCUUUACAUGCAUGUGCUGCUCGUGCUCACCUUAACACCUAGUAGGGACUUUCUUCAGAUCUCUGGAGUUGGUUCUCUGUGCAGCUCUCUUCUGUCUCAGCUGUGACUCUUUAACUCAGAGACUCUGGAAGACUAUAGCUGGAUUCCCCUCCUUUUGCUAUGGCCUGGAAUCUCUCUUAUGUCAGUAUGCUGGGGAAUUGUAGACUCAUCUCAUUUGUUCCCUUCCCCUCAGGGAUCACUGUCUUUUAUUGCCUCAAGCCUAGUGUCUUGAAAAACAUUCAUAUAUUUUGUUUUGUUUAGGCUGGAGGGUAGAUCUGGUGCCUUUUGCUGCAUCUUGACUGAAAAUGGAAGUAUGAAUGUGUUCUUGUUAUGAAAGAUAAUAUUAUAGCCAAAUCAAUAUUAUUUGACUCAAUCACCUAUUAUAUGGUUUGUUAGUGAUCACUAUGAGUCAGAAUCGAUUCAACGGCAAUGGGUUUUGGUUUUGUUAGUGUUAAGGCUGGGACAAAAAUCUGAUUUCCCUAGAAUUUAGGAUGUCUUAUUUAUGAAAUUAAUUUAUGUUCUUUUUUUUUUAUGUAAGUUAUCCUGUUUUACUUUCCUACUCUUUUGGAAUGAACAAAUAAGUGAAGGAGAUAGGCAGUAGUAUAGAACUGGGAAGCAACUUGCAAUGUAAUAAGGGACUGUGCUGAUAGGGUAAUGAUAGCCUACAAGGGGAUUGAUCAAUUUUGCCAUCCUGCUGAGCUUGAAAUAAGCCACUCCAGAAGUGAGAAAGAGAGGACCCCACCACCACCAAGGAAAAAAGAGCCCGUGCAUCCUUUGGACCUGGGAUCCCUGCACUGAGAAGCUUCUGAAACUAGGAGACAAAAAGAGAGAGAGAGAGCUCCAGACCCAGCAGCAGAGAACUGACAACAGGAGAUGACCAGAUGGGCUUCCUGGCCUACGAAGAGAGAAAGCUGAGUGCUUUUGGGCAGAGGCUGAGGGUGAGGGAGAGGUGUGCCUGUGAGUAUGGCUGGGAAGAGCCUGCCCUCAAGGAAGAACUAUAUCCUUGAGUGUUUCUGAGCCUGAAUUGUAACUGUUACUUCCCUAAUAAAACCCAUAAUCGUGAGUGUGGUCUCUGAAUUCUGACCAUUGCAAUGAAUUAUUGAGCCCAGCACAGACGUAGAGAGUGCCUUGGGAGGGGUGGUUGGUGUCAGAAUUGGAAAAAAUGGUGGAGAGAAGAGGCAUGUCUGACCCUGACCUCGUAGGAAUGAGCCUUGGGCUGUUGAUCUUGAUUCUCCUUUCCUCAUGUGAACUUAGAGGAGGUCAGACACUGCCCCCAUGCUGUCUUUACAACUGUGUACUAAAUACUAGGACAAACAUUUGACUAUCUGACGUUAGAUACCAACAUUACCUAACUGUUCCAACUUACAUACAAAUUCAACUUAAAGACGGGCUUAGGAACGGACGGAGCUCAUUCGUAAUCCAGGGACUGCCUGUAUUUCCACCCUUCCUAGAUAGGAAAAGAGCAAAAUGAGGAAAAGGGUAAUAUUUAUUGGACACCUGCUAUUCUCAAGUCAUUCUCUUUUAUACAUAUUAUAUAUAAAACUACGUAUAUAUAAUUUUGGAAACCCUGGUGGCGUAGUGGUUAAGAGCUACAGCUGCUAACCAAAAGGUCAUUAGUUCAGAUCCAUCAGGUGAUCCUUGGAGACCCUUUGAGGCAGUUCUCCUCUGUCCUGUAGGGUUGCUAAUGAGUUGGAAUUGACUCGACGACAGUAGGUUUUUUUGGUUAUAUAUAAUUUUAUAUAUAAAAAAUUAUUUAUGAAAGCAAAGAGGACUUGAAGCACUUACUGAUAAAGAUCAAAGAAUACAGCCUUCAGUAUGAAUUACACCUCAACAUAAAGAAGACAGAAAUCCUCACAACUAGAUCAAUAAGCAAUGUCAUGAUAGAGGGAGAAAAUACUGACAUUGACAAGGAUUUCAUUUUACUUGGAUUCACAAUCAAUGUCUGUGGAAGCAGCAGUCAAGAAAUUAAACGAUGUAUUGCAUUGGGCAAAUCUGCUCCAAAAACCUCUUUAAAGUGUUAAAAAGCAAAGGUGUCAUUUUAAAGACUAAGGAGUGUGCCUGACCCAAGCCAUGGUAUUUUCAACUGCCUCAUGUAUGCAAAAGGUGGUCAGUGAAUAAGGAAGACAGAAGAAGAAUUGAUACAUUUAAAUUAUGGUGCUGGUGAAGAAUACUGAAUAUACCAUGGACUGCCAGAAGACCGAUCAAAUCUGUCUUGGAAGAAGUACAACCAGAAUGCUCCUUAGAAGUGAGAAUGGAAAGGCUUCAUCUCAUGUACUUUGGACGUGUUACCAGGAGGGAGCAGUCCUUGGAGAAGGACAUCAUGCUUGGUAAAGUAAAGAGUCAGUGAAAAAGAGAAAGACCCUCAAUGAAAUAUAUUGACACAGAAGCUAUAACAGUGGACCCAAACAUAGCAACAAUUGUGAGGAUGGCACAGGACUCGGCAGUAUUCAUUCUGGUGUACAUUGGGUCACUGUGAGUCGAAACUGACUUCACGGUACCUAACAACAUUUUUUAUGUACUCUCUUUCAGUCUUUUUCCUGAAGUUUUUUUUAUAUAUAUGUAUAUAUAUAUAUAUACACACACACAGACACACGCACACAGAGAGAGAGAGAGAGAGAGAGAGAAUCCUUCAGUAUUGCAACUCGAGGCUUGAAGUUUUUCGUCAGUUCUUUCAGCUUGAGGAAUGCUGCGUCCUUCCCUUUUUGUUUUCUAACUCCAGGUCUUUGCACAUUUCAUCAUAAUACUUUAGUUUGUCUUCUCUAGCUGCCCUUUGAAAUCUUAUGUUCAGCUCUUUUACAUGAUUGUUUCUUCACUUUGCUUUGUCUACUCUGUGUUCAAGAGCAAGUUUGAGUCUCUCCUGAUAUCUGUUUCAGUCUUUUCUUUCUUUCCUGUUUUUUUUAAUGAUCAUUUCCUUUCUUCAUGUGUGAUGUCCUUGGUACCAUCCCACAACUUACCAAGUCUUCAGUUAUUAGUGAUCAAGUGCAUCAGAUCUAUUCUUGAGAUAGUCUCCAAAUCAGGUGUGAUAUACUCAAGGUUAUACUUUGUUUCUUGUGGGCUUGUUUUAAUUUUCUGCGGUUUCAACUUGAACUUGUAUAUGAGCAAUUGAUGAUCUGUUCCACUGUCAGUCCCUGGCCUUGUUCUGACUGAUAAUUCUGAGCUUCUCCAUCAUCUCUUUCCGCAGAUGUAGUCGAUUUGAUUCCUGUGUUUUCCAUCCAGUGAGGUCCAUGUGUAUAUUCACCGUUUGUUAUUGAGCGAGGUAUUUCCAAUGAAUAAGCCCUUGGUCUUGCAAAAUUCUAUCAUGCGAUCUCCAGUGUCAUUUCUAUCACUGAGGUCCUAUUUUCCAACUACCAAUCAUUCUUUGUUUUCAGCUUUCACAUUCCAGUUAUCAGAAAUUAUCAAUGUAUCUUGAUUGCAUGUGUGAUCAAUUUCAUACUGCAGAAGCUGGGAAAAAUUUUCAGUGUCUUCAUCUUUGGCAUUAACCAUUGGUGUAUAAAUUUGAAUAAUUGUCAUAUUAACUGGUCUUCCUUAUAGGCAUAUGGAUAUCAUCUUAUCAUGCGACAGCAUUGUAUUUCAGGAUAGAUCUUGAAAUGUUCUUUUUGGCAAUGAAUACGACGCUAUUCCUCUCCAAUUUGUCACUCUCAGCGUAGUAAACCACAUGACUGCUUGAUUCAGAAUGGCCAAACCAGCCCACUUCAGCUGAGUUAAUACCUAGGAUGUUGAUCUUCAGACAUUCCAUUUUAUUUUUGACAACUUCCAGUUUUCCUAGAUUCAUACAUAGUACAUUCAGUGUCCUGAUUAUUAAUGGAUGUUUGUUGCUGUUCUCAUUUUGAGAUGUACCACAUCAGCAAACAAAGGUCCUGAAAGCUUUACUCUAUCCAUGUCAUCAAGAUUGACUCUACUUUGAGAAGGCAACUUUCCUCAGUUGUAUUUUGAGUGCCUUUCAACCUGAGGGGCUCGUCUUCCAGCACUAUAUCAGACAGUUUUCCACAGCUAGUCAUGAGGUUUUCACUGGCCAGUUUUUUUAGAAAUAGGGGAAAUAAGCCAUACCUAAUAUUAUUGUUGAUUAAUGAUACUUAAUUAGCCAUUUAGUGAAUUAUCCAGGUCCUUUUACUUCUUUUUCAGUUUUUUGUGUUUUGAGUUAUUUCUACAAUUCUGUCAAAAAUUUAGGAGGGACCAGAGCCAAUAGAAAUAGAAGGUAAAAUUUCUGUUGUUAUGUCACUAUUACUUGUAAUUAACUUAGUAAAUAAGUCAGGUUAGUAACUGAAAUUGUUUUUGAAUCUUGGUUAUUUUUACUUUAACAAAACUAAAUGGCUGUAUUAGCAUUAGUUCCCCAGUGAGAAAACCAUAACUACCAAGAUGUUGAAAUGAAGAAAUGUGUUCAAAGAAGAGGUAAUUUAAAGUGUGCUCUGGGAUGAGGGAGAUGAGUGAGAGCCCAAAUGCUUGGAGCUGUUCUGUUCCAGACCAGGUUACUGAUAAAACCAAACGCAGUGCUUUCGAGUCGAUUCCGACUCAUAGCGACCCUAUAGGACAGAGUAGAACUGCCCCAUAGAGUUUCCAAGGAGCGCCUGGCGGAUUUGAACUGCCGACCCUUUGGGUAGCAGCCGUAGCACUUAACCACUAUGCCACCAGGGUUUCCAGGUUACUGAUAUAACCUCAUUAUUACAGAAGAGUUGCUUUGCUUGCAUGGUGCGAGUUUAGUGGUCUUGGUGCUUUUAAUUAAGGAUAAGAAUCUGUGAUAAAAUUAGCUUUCUUGUUGACUAUCUUAGGCAGGACUGUGAGGAUUCAUUGGUAAAAAACCAGUAACCUGUCCUCUCACCCCCAGGGUGCAAACAGUGAAAAGGAUUAAGGCCCACUGUAGGGAGGCUUGGACUAAAGUCUGCACUGCCCUUUCCCCUGUUCUUUCAGCUAAAUAGAAGAUUUUAGUUCCCAUGACUAUCAAUCUGGUGCUUUUCACAAGCAAAUUAUCUUAAGAAAAUUAAGAUGACUUAUUUUUAGAAAUUCACUGGCCUAGAAUACUGAAAGAUGAUGUUAUAUUGAUAUUUCAUAUUGAUAGAUCCUGUGCAUAUUUUUUCUGAUGCAUAUUAAUUUUCUUUAACCUUUUUGAAAGUUUUGGAGGUUGAUACAUGUAAAAAUCAAGUACAGAUUUCAUAUGGCUAGGUUGCUUGUCCAGCAGUAACUUGUAGAGUUUGGCAGUGUUGAGUCUUAUGUUUUGUUGGAAAUUGCUUUCUGACAACCCUGUGGACAUAAAAUUUUAACUUUUAUUUUUAGGUGACUGCAGUUGUAAAGUGCUUUCUUUUUGUGUCUGAAGGCUUUUAAAUAGCUGUUACAAGUGCUGAAGUGUCAUAUAUUUUUUCAGUGUCUGUCAAAUUGUUAUUGUAUUUAAUCUUGAAGCUAUAUUUUGAUUUUAACUAAAAAUAAUUACAGAGUAUUAAACAUUCUUAGUAGUUAAAGCUCCCCCCCCCCAUUUAAUUUGAGCUUUUGUUGUUACUAACAAAUAAUUUGUGGCACAGUUUCUUUUCUUUCUUUCUUUUUUUUUUAAAUGGCUGCUAGAAUCUCUAUACUUGUCACCUUAGUGUGCUAGAAAUGUUCCCCUCAAAUCAAGGGGUUCCUUUCUGGUUUUGUGUGUUCUCACCUGCUCCUCACUGUAAAUCACUGAGAUGUCAAGUGCGAUGAUUAAUUAAGCUGCACGUGCAAGUGCUUUUUUUCCCCCACCUGUCAAGCAGGAAAGAAGUCUUAGAGCAAGAUUAGGUGGUACCGUCUAAUUCACAGCUUUUAUCCCAGGCUGUCAAGUGUGCAGAAAUAUUUUCUAUUUCGAUGUUUUUUCAGAAUUUGGCAGCCCAGGGUUUGUUUGGUUUCAAACUCUAAAAUAUUGCAAGAUACACUUAAUAUGCCAAACCCUAUCAUUAAAAAAAAAAAAAAAAAAUUUUAUUAUCAUUAAACUCUUAAAUAGAGGCGAAGAAUAAGUUCAGAAUUCCUACAUAAAUAUUUUAGAAUUUACAGUUUGUACUUUAUAAUUCUCUUUUAAUCAAAUACUGAUAGUUGAUUUAAGUGAAGGUAAAUAUCUAAAUAUUUUUAAAUUGAUUAUAUAUAUCAUAAUGAAAUCCAUUCUCAUUAUAAUGUAGCAUGAGUUUAAAUUUGUGAUGAAAUGAUUAUGGUGGUAACUUUAUUUUUAGUAAAAAAUAUUUGCAGUAUGUAAUGUUGCACUUUUCGGUACUAUUUUUUAUACAUUCUUAGGAAACAACAGACUUGGAAAGCGGCUUCUCCCCACCAUAGUUCUUUCAUCACUUCCCCUGCUUCUCUUUUUUUAAACCAUCAGCAAGAGUAAAACCCUCAAAUUGUAUAGUAAUCUUAAUCUAUUAUUAAAAGGUCCUAGAAAGGAAGAUUACAAGGUAGAUUCAGGUUUUGAAUCGGGUUUGCCAUUGGUUUAGCAGCGGGUGGGCAGGCAGAUGCCUGCUCAGAGUAGAACCUAUUGCCAUUUUUCACCAUUGAUAGAGUAGCCUUUCAGAGUCAAUGAGCUCUGUCAAUGUGAGCUUGUCAAGGCUACAACUUCAUAGACCUGAGAGGCGGUUUGAGAGGUCAGCCCUUUUCAGGUUCGCUGUGAUGCAAAUGAACUUUAAUGCUUAAACAACUAUUGGAAUUUUUAUGUCUGCUCCUUGUUCUUUUUUCUUCACAAAGUCAUUGACGAGACAUUCAGUGCUUUUUAAAUUGGAAGUUGCAUUGUGCUAAAGACCUAGUACAGAUUUACGGAGGGCUGAAAGCAGUUAGAUCAUGUUCUUUUCAUGGUGCGAUUAGAAUCAAAUCGAUUUCCCUACAGCCUUCAGCAUUCAGAUGGCAAUUUUAACAAAGCUUGGGGGCUAGACAAGGGACAAAACGACUGAACUGAAUGUUAAUUACACUCUGCAGCCUUAUUUUCUUUUGAUUUGGGACUGACUGGCAACUAAAUUAACAAAAAGUGUGACCAUAACUGCUGCCCUAUUUUCAUUUAAAAGGAGAGCUGCCUCUAAAAGGCUAUCUUUACAAAGAAACAAGUGAGAUCUGCUGAUCAUUGUUAACAAGGGCACUAUUUUUUUUUUUCAAAAUUCUUGCCUAAAAGACUCUGUUCAAAAACGUAAUGUAAUAAAUUAAUCAUUGAUGAAUUAUUACCAAGAAAGUUGGUUGAUUUUCUGAAUUUUAUGAUAUAAGCUUGGGAAAUGUAAGGCAGUAAUGGUAAUUCAUUGGUAAUUAUGAAUUAUAAUAAGCACCUAUACGGCUGUGAUG